rnacentral:rRNA from 1 species
GUAGGUGGCAAGCGUUGUCCGGAAUUAUUGGGCGUAAAGCGCGCGCAGGCGGUUCUUUAAGUCUGAUGUGAAAGCCCACGGCUCAACCGUGGAGGGUCAUUGGAAACUGGAGAACUUGAGUACAGAAGAGGAAAGCGGAAUUCCACGUGUAGCGGUGAAAUGCGUAGAGAUGUGGAGGAACACCAGUGGCGAAGGCGGCUUUCUGGUCUGUAACUGACGCUGAGGCGCGAAGGCGUGGGGAGCAAACAGGGAUUAGAUACCCUGGUAGUCCACGCCGUAAACGAUGAGUGCUAAGUGUUAGGGGGUUUCCGCCCCCCUUAGUGCUGCAGCUAACGCAUUAAGCACUCCGCCUGGGAGUACGGCCGCAAGGCUG